GCUGGCGGCAGGCUUAACACAUGCAAGUCGAACGGUAGCAGGUAAGUACUUGUACUUAUGCUGACGAGUGGCGGACGGGUGAGUAAUGCUUGGGGAUCUGGCUUAUGGAGGGGGAUAACGACGGGAAACUGUCGCUAAUACCGCGUAGAAUCGGGAGAUGAAAGUGUGGGACCUUCGGGCCACAUGCCAUAGGAUGAGCCCAAGUGGGAUUAGGUAGUUGGUGGGGUAAUGGCCUACCAAGCCGACGAUCUCUAGCUGGUCUGAGAGGAUGACCAGCCACACCGGGACUGAGACACGGCCCGGACUCCUACGGGAGGCAGCAGUGGGGAAUAUUGCGCAAUGGGGGCAACCCUGACGCAGCCAUGCCGCGUGAAUGAAGAAGGCCUUCGGGUUGUAAAGUUCUUUCGGUGACGAGGAAGGUUGUUGUGUUAAUAGCGCA
rnacentral:rRNA from 1 species